rnacentral:rRNA from 1 species
CCUACGGGAGGCUGCAGUAGGGAAUAUUGCUCAAUGGGGGAAACCCUGAAGCAGCAACGCCGCGUGGAGGAUGAAGGUUUUCGGAUUGUAAACUCCUUUUGGUAGAGAAGAGAAUGACGGUAUCUAACGAAUAAGCACCGGCUAACCCCGUGCCAGCAGCCGCGGUAAUACGGAGGGUGCAAGCGUUACUCGGAAUCACUGGGCGUAAAGAGCGCGUAGGCGGGAUAGCAAGUCAGAUGUGAAAUCCUAGGGCUUAACCAUAGAACUGCAUUUGAAACUGUUAUUCUAGAGUAUGGGAGAGGUAGGUGGAAUUCUUGGUGUCGGGGUUAAAUCCGUAGAGAUCAAGAGGAAUACUCAUUGCGAAGGCGACCUGCUAGAACAUACCUGACGCUGAUGCGCGAAAGCGUGUGGAGCACACAGGAUUAGAUACCCCUGUAGUC